GGAGGGGGCAGGGUGCAAGCGUGGGGAUCAGACCCCCACGGAGACGUGGGCUGGGAGUUCCAGAACCAUCCGGAACUUUGUCAUGCUACCCUCUGCCAUGUCCUGCUUAGGUAUGAAGGAUCAUUUGGGAAAUAAAUAGAUAAAUACACGAGGAAAGCUUUAUUAUGUUCAAUCGGAUUCAUGGAGUCUGAGAACAAGCUGCCUGAGGGAAAAAUCCAGAAACGUGCGCUCCAGCCCAUUCAUGGUGCUCAGUUUGGGGGCUGGAGGCGUUGAAGGGGGCAAUGCCCUGGAAUCCUGCUCAGCUCCUGGGACAGCGACUGCUUGGCUGAAGCAUCAAUUAUGGAUACAUGAUAUAUUUUAAAAUCUCGGACAAAGGCAGCAAAGCCAUCCAUCUGCCUUUCGGGACCAGGCUCCCCAGUUGGUGACAGCGAGGCUGCGAGGCUUCCUCUGUUUACCUCUUGCCACGAUGGCCACGUGGACUUGUCUGAGGUCGCAGGGCUGAGAGUCCGGGCACAGCCAGAACUCCCGACCAGCAGGUGUGCACGAGGUCAGGGUGGGCGUCAGGCACCCCAGGGUUCCUGCCAGAGAAAGGGCGCCCUUCCCCACUUGGGAGAAGAAGCUGGAGAGGUUGGACCUAUUGUGAGAGGUUAUUGCUGCUUCUUGAGGGGCUUUCAUGGGGAAUUUAGAAUACAUUCACUUUUGUUUUGUUUUGUUUUUCUAGGGCCGUAGCCACAAUGUAUAGAAGUACCCAGGCUAGGAGCUGCAGCCACUGGCCUACGCCACAGCCACAGCAUCGUCAGAUCCAAGCUGCUUCUGCGACCUACACCAUAGCUCAUGGCAACA
rnacentral:lncRNA from 1 species